AAAAUACUCUCUUCGUUUCAAAAUUCUUGUCUUAUAUUUGUCUAAAUGCGGAUGUAUCUAAUUACAUUUCAGUGUUAGAUAUAUCCAUAUCUAGACAAAUCCAAGACACGAAUUUUAGAACGAUAGGAGUAUUUA
rfam:Triticum aestivum genome assembly, contig: Triticum_aestivum_CS42_TGACv1_scaffold_514264_6BS